GGUCCUGUAGCUCAAUUAGGCAGAGCACGACUCUCUUAAAGUCGGUUGUCUGGGUUCGAUUCCCAGUGGGACCA
rnacentral:tRNA from 1 species